UCGCUCUUCAACGAGGAAUCCCUAGUAAGCACAAGUCAUCAGCUUGUGCUGAUUACGUCCCUGCCCUUUGUACACACCGCCCGUCGCUACUACCGAUUGAAUGGCUUAGUGAGGCUCUCGGACUGGGCCCUGGUUUUACUGUUUCUUUCGGGGGACAGAGACGGGGCCUGGGAAGUUAGACAAACUUGGUCAUUUAGAGGAAGUAAAAGUCGUAACAAGGUUUCCGUAGGUGAACCUGCGGAAGGAUCAUUGAUGGAAUUAUGGUUUUUCUAAUGGGUCAGGCUUCUCAGAGAUGGGGGGUCAGACCUACAAACAAAACAUAGAAACCCAAGAAGAUUGAGUGGGGAUUUUGCUGAUCCUUCUCUUUUUUUUGAGAUUUGGUUUUUUUUGGUGAGAUUUUCUCAGUCAAAAGAUCAAGUCAAAUAAAAAGGAUGGAAAAGUUAAGAGAACCACAAAGGAAAAAAAAAAUAGUGGAUGCCUGAUAAGAGUUUGGAAGGGAAUAACAAAAAAACAACUUUCAACAACGGAUCUCUUGGCUCUCGCAUCGAUGAAGAACGCAGCGAAAUGCGAUAAGUAGUGUGAAUUGCAGAACUUUGUGAACCAUCGAAUCUUUGAACGCAAAUUGCGCCUUUUUCGGAAGGCAUGUCUGUUUGAGGGCACCAUUUAACAAAUAAUGUGCACCGUUUUGUGUGUGCACACGUUGAUGAGCUUUCCAGGAAAAAUUUUUUUUUUUUGGUGGCGCAUAAUGAACAGCGCGAAAGCUUUUUUUUCAGUUCGAGUGUAGUAAAAUCUUUGCUUGGGUUGCGAAAAGCAAGUAGCGCACUGGGUGUGGCAGUUUUCCCUGAUGCCACUCUUUCUCGCGAAAGAAUGUUAUAAUCUUCAGGGCCUCAAAUCAGACAAGAGUACCCGCUGAACUUAAGCAUAUCAAUAAGCGGAGGAAAAGAAACUAACAAGGAUUCCCCUAGUAACGGCGAGUGAAGCGGGAACAGCUCAAAUUUUAAAUCUGGCUGCUUCGCAGUCCGAGUUGUAAUUUGAAGGCGUCUGUCGCAUGUGAGACGAUGGCACAAGUCCUCUGGAACGUGGCAUCGUAGAGGGUGAGAAUCCCGUCUCUGGUCGUUGUCUUGCAGGCACACGGCAGGCGAUCCGAAGAGUCGAGUUGUUUGGGAUUGCAGCUCCAAAUGGGUGGUAAACUCCAUCUAAGGCUAAAUAUUGGCGAGAGACCGAUAGCGAACAAGUACCGUGAGGGAAAGAUGAAAAGAACUUUGAAAAGAGAGUAAAACAGUACGUGAAAUUGUUGAAAGGGAAACGCUUGAAGUCAGUCGUGCCGGCGGGGAUUCAGCGAACUUCGCGGAGUGAGCGUAUUUCCUCGCAUGGCAGGUCAGCGUCAGUUUUGCGCGUCGUGAAAGGGCUCGGGUAAGGUGACUCUCUUCGGGGAGUGUUAUAGGCCUGAGCAGAUGCGAUGCGCGGGACUGAGGAUUGCAGCGGACACCCUUCGGGGCGCGGCGACCGAUCCCUGCUCUGUCACCUUCGUCCGAUAGCGUGCUAACGGUCGGGGGAGCGGCGGUUGCACCGGGUUGGCAAGCCGGCGGCUUCGCUAAGGAUGCUGGCGUAAUGGCUUUAAACGACCCGUCUUGAAACACGGACCAAGGAGUCUAACAUAUGUGCGAGUGUUU
rnacentral:rRNA from 1 species